UUGCUUCGGCAGUACAUACACUUAAAAUGGAACAACACAGAGAAGAUUGCCAUGGCUCCUGCACAAGGAUAACACAGAAAUUCAUGAAGAAUUUCAUUAUUUC
rnacentral:snRNA from 1 species